CUAGAAUUAGCUAAUUCCACCUGAUUCUUAGUCGGUGCCUCGUUCUUUCCUUGGUUUUUUUUGCUUCUGUUGCCUCUGCUAUAUGAAAUAUGAGGUUCUUGAUCAAUCCUGGUGCUCUGGUGUCGUUGUUUUUCAGGUCCAGGGAGGGCACAAUGAUGAACCUGUCGAAUGGCUUUGCGUAAAAUUCAGAUUUUUAUUACUAAAAUAUUACUAAAACUGCAGAUUCAGUCUGUUGCAAGAUAUUUAUGUCCCACUGCAAGCUAAUGGUAGUAAUCGAUGCAUUUUUGAAAAUCAGGUCUAUGCAUGGAGUCAGGGUGUCAAUCAUGGAGCCAGGGUGUCAAGCAUGGUUCUGGUAAUACUAAACAGCAGCUAUAAUACGUCAUAACCAGCCUGAAGUUUGGGCAUUUUGCUUGGGAAAUGGCUAUGCUGGAUUGAAGGAUGCUCUUGGUUCAAAUGAUUCCAGACUUCAAAGUUCCAAAUUAUAUUUCACAUGCAUGUCGCUAGCCGGGAUGCUACUUCAGUGAGACAUUGAAGCCCAUAUCAGAAGAGCACCAGGCAAGAGUUGGAGAACUAGGAGUCUUCGGCUGUCGCUACGGCCUUCGGAUUGCUCCUGUAUUCUUCAAUGGACAAUCCUUGACACGGUCACAUAAGCACAACAAGAGGAGAACCCCGACCACAGUUCCCAGUCCAAGGGCGACGAUGGCGGAUUUGCUUUUAUUGCUGAACAAUGGGAACCCUCUGUGGGUGACCGCUUGCUCGAGCCAUUAUUUGAAUUCAAGCUCCUCAUCUGUGUGAAGCUGACAGGUAGCUUACCGCUGAAAGAAUUGUUUGAGAGGUCAAUGUUGAAGCAGUUGUCUAGCUUCCCUAGCCAUGGCGGGAUAUUCCCAUCUAACUUGUUACAUG